CCCAAAAGGCCCAAUGUAAUUUUAAGAAAAAUAUUUUUAUUUUGGUAUGUUAGAUUUAAGAUACGAUUUUUAUUGUGUUCCAUUAAAAAAAAUGAGUUUUGUUAUAUUUCAUUAAAAAAAAUAUGAAUUUUAUUGCAAAUGUCAUUUGGCUAUUUAUUAAUAAAAAUGAUCUUUGAUCAAAAAAAUAUAUUAAUUAAGUGUUAAACCACUUAGGGUGCGUUUGUUUUAAAGGUAACGGGUUAAGAGUUAUUUUUGUAAUAUAUUACCUUUCAUUAACAGUGUUUGGUUUGUCAAGGUUAACAUUUAACCCGAUUAACCAUUCACCUCAAUUAAACGUAAUUCAUUAACUUAGGAGGGGGUGGGGUAAUGGCCUGAAACAUUAACGAGGUUAAAGCAACGUGAUUCAUUCUACAGGAAAAUCAUAUCUGCUAUUCACUCAUCAAGAAAAUCAUCUCGACUUCACUUACCCACCAAAUCAACAAUCAAUUUUUUUUAUCACUGAUCUAUCAAAAAAAGCACAUCAUCUUCACCUUCUCCUUACCAAUGACAAGGAAAUGAUGAAGAAAAUUACAUUGAUGUGAUAGAGCCUUCAAAUGAGUGGCAGAUAUGGAAAGAUAAUUUGGCGAAUGAAAUGUUUGAAAUUUGGAGAGCGCAAAGGGCUAUUAAUUAGUUUUGCAUGUUGUUGUAUUUGAUACUAUAUUCAAAUAACUACACUUGUUCAUGUGAUCCAUUUAAUGUUGUUUUUCAUUAAUGAAAUUAGACUAUAUUAUUUGAA